GAGUUUGAUCUUGGCUCAGAUUGAACGCUGGCGGCAUGCCUUACACAUGCAAGUCGAACGGCAGCGCGGGGGCAACCCUGGCGGCGAGUGGCGAACGGGUGAGUAAUAUAUCGGAACGUGCCAUUGAGUGGGGGAUAACGUAGCGAAAGUUACGCUAAUACCGCAUACGAUCUAAGGAUGAAAGCGGGGGAUCGCAAGACCUCGCGCUCUUUGAGCGGCCGAUAUCUGAUUAGCUAGUUGGUAGGGUAAAAGCCUACCAAGGCGACGAUCAGUAGCUGGUCUGAGAGGACGACCAGCCACACUGGGACUGAGACACGGCCCAGACUCCUACGGGAGGCAGCAGUGGGGAAUUUUGGACAAUGGGGGCAACCCUGAUCCAGCAAUGCCGCGUGAGUGAAGAAGGCC
rnacentral:rRNA from 1 species